AAAAGGUAGCUCACGCGAUCAUACAUACUCAGAAUUGCUUGCAAUGAAUCAGCUCCAACCACAACCGCAAGAUUACGAUGGCUCAGCUCUUCAAAUGGUGACCCAGUUUGCAGAGUGCAUGGAGGGUAGCAAUUAUGUUCGCCAACCGUUCACUUUUUAUUGCUUUUGCUUGCAUAAAAUGCUCCAUAAGAUAUUGAAGAAUCGUGAUCAAGUUACAAUCGCUGGAAUAUUAGAUCGCAUUAAAGAGAACGUGUUACCUCUUCCAGGAAAACCUGAUGAGAUUUACGAUUUGCUUACUGGUAUUCAAAGCCUAUCGGACGAGUUUGACAUACGUGGGGAGCAUACUAAUGUUGCGGAUAUUCGAAUAAGAAAGAAAGGAGAUAUAUCUUUAACAGAAGUCUUUCAACGUGGAAUUGAAGAUGAAAAAGCACCUGGCGACUGCUCUAAUACAAGCGACAUACCACCUUCAUUAUAUAUGCUGAAUGUCACGGUUCCAGCAGAUAUUGAAGAUAAGGUGACACCUGACUACUCUAGUGCAAGUGAGGUACUACCGAUUUUGCAACCUUCAGAUACUGAACAUGAGGUUUAUAAUACCGUAAUCGUUCUAAUUAUAGAACCAAUAAAAAAUAAUUAUUUUUCUACAAUGUACGCAAAAAAUUGAUUUUAUAUGGUAGUAUACGGGCGUUAUAAAAAACCUAACCAAGGCUGGUUCUAUAAUUAGAACGCCUACGGUAGGCAGUUUUUCGCAUCAAGGAAUUCAUUAACCACUAAUUGCAUGA